GUGAGGAAUAUUGGUCAAUGGACGGAAGUCUGAACCAGCCAUGCCGCGUGCAGGAAUAAGGUCCUAUGGAUUGUAAACUGCUUUUAUUCGGGAAUAAACCUCUUUACGUGUAGGGAGCUGAAGGUACCGAAGGAAUAAGCACCGGCUAACUCCGUGCCAGCAGCCGCGGUAAUACGGAGGGUGCAAGCGUUAUCCGGAAUCAUUGUGUUUAAAGGGUCCGCAGGCGGGCUAUCAAGUCAGAGGUGAAAUCCCACAGCUUAACUGUGGAACUGCCUUUGAAACUGAUGGUCUUGAAUUAAGUGGGCGUUGGCGGAAUAUGACAUGUAGCGGUGAAAUGCAUAGAUAUGUCAUGGAACACCGAAAGCGAAGGCAGCUAACGAUACUUAUAUUGACGCUCAUGGACGAAAGCGUGGGUAGCGAACAGGAUUAGAAACCCUGGUAGUCC
rnacentral:rRNA from 1 species